rnacentral:lncRNA from 1 species
UACAGACAAGUAAGAGAUAAACUACGUAAAGACAAAAGUAGGCGAACCGAACUGAAAACAGUAGUCGAAAUUAAAGAUAGUCAAGCAAUUACUAACACAGGGCUCGAACUAGAAAGCACUAACCAAUUACUAGUAAGAGAACUAGUACGGGUAGGCAAUCAAGAAUUAUGCUAUAACUAUCACAAAUAAUUAAUUUAGGACAGGGCAGAUAGAGAUUAAUCGAUGAAAUAAGGCACCAACUCCCGACAGUGUAGAACUUGGAUGGACUGUCGUGAAUGCCAAAGGGGGCGCUGCGGCAAUAACCUUAGUCAAUUUCCAGCUGUUCACGUGCUCCACGUGAAGUUGCUGCCUCCAACCUAAUCUGGCUUCUCGCCAGUGCGUACGUCUCACACUCUGUUCCGGUGACGCCGGCAAAGUGAGUACCUGUAAAACAGAAAGAGGGGCCAAAAAAAGGAAAAAACAGGAAAGGAAGAAGAGGGGUAGAUGGUACGCAACCUCAUAUCUGGGCCAGUUUCCAAUAAGUUUCCGGUAGGUUUUCGGUGAUAUAAUUGGUCACAAGAAAAAAAAAGGGAGAAAAAAGAAGGGGUGGCCUCUACUACUAUGACAUGCGCUGGUUUAGGGAGAGAAAGAAAGAUGAAUAAGUAGGGAAAAAUAAGGGAAGAGAAGGAGAGACAUGGAAAGGUAGGAGCGAGAGCGUCGGGAAGAGAUAAAAACGGGAGAGGAGAAGAAAACAACGAGGACGGGGGAAGAGAGAGAAAGAUGGGGGAGCGGACCUACCUAAUUUUCCAGUGAUAGAGCAGUCGUCGGUUGGGAAGUUUGUAAGAGAAAGUGACGUCACAAUUUGAGAUGAGAGAGAAGGAG